rnacentral:rRNA from 1 species
UACAGAGGGUGCGAGCGUUGUCCGGAAUCACUGGGCGUAAAGGGCGCGUAGGUGGCGCGGGCAGUCAACGGUGAAAGUUCGGGGCUCAACCCUGAAUCGGCCGUCGAUACUCCCGGGCUUGAGCACUGUAGAGGCAGAUGGAAUUCCGGGUGUGGCGGUGGAAUGCGUAGAGAUCCGGAAGAACACCGGUGGCGAAGGCGGUCUGCUGGGCAGUAGCUGACACUGAGGCGCGACAGCGUGGGGAGCAGACAGG